UACGGGGGGGGGCAAGCGUUGUUCGGAAUUACUGGGCGUAAAGGGCUCGUAGGCGGCCAACUAAGUCAGACGUGAAAUCCCUCGGCUUAACCGGGGAACUGCGUCUGAUACUGGAUGGCUUGAGUGUAGGAGAGGGAUGCGGAAUUCCAGGUGUAGCGGUGAAAUGCGUAGAUAUCUGGAGGAACACCGGUGGCGAAGGCGGCAUCCUGGACUACUACUGACGCUGAGUGAGCGAAAGCCAGGGGGAGCAAACGGG
rnacentral:rRNA from 1 species